rnacentral:rRNA from 1 species
AUUCUCUAUUCUGCCCAAUCUCGGCUCAUCCACCCAUCCCCUACAAAAAAGGGACGCGAACCGCCGGCCGGCGGCGGUGGAGCCGAUCUGGCGCGGUGGCCACCGACGCCGGCCACCCCCAGUGCAUCUGACGCCUCCCCUCAGCCCCAGCCACCACAGAAACCACGCCCCCCUCCUCUUCGUCGUCUUCUCCGUUCCCUUCGCAGUCUCCUCCGACACAGGCCUCGGCAAGGAUGCCGCCGAUGUCGUUCGGCCACCAACGCCUCUCCUACUCCCUCCUCAACUGCAGCAGAGUUCCACUGCUCACUAUCUCCACCACCUCCUCCCUCCUCCUCGACAUCCCCUCUGCCCCCCUUCCCCCAUCUCCUUCAGCUACCUGCGCAAGUCGUCGCCGGCGCCGUUCAUGCCCCAACGUCUCUCCUAUCUCCCCCCUUUCCUUCUGCAGCAGGCUCACUGGCCACCGCCCACCACCACCACAUUCCGCUCCUCAUCCCAGCCCCUUCCGACGCCGACUUCCAGAAGUAUGCCGCCGCCGCCGCCUACGACCUGCUCAAUUCUGAGACAACGAUGCCACCUACUGCUAUUUCCCCUUCCCCGCUGACGCACUCCACCACAUGUUUUGGUGUGAUUGUUGAUGUGGAGGUGCUACUGCCUUUCCUUGCCAAAACUUAUCCUGCCCAGCCCCGGCGCAGUGGCGCCUCCCGAAUUCAAAAUUUUCUGACACCAAGUCCCCGCGCCUUUAUGGAACUGUCCAGAAACCACACUUGUAGCCCAAUAAAAACCAGGUGGGUAUGCAGAUAGGACUCAUACUGCUCGAACUAACCCCAAGAAGCCAUACACUGGACACACUCUCACAUCUUGAGAUCAAACACAGUGUGAGGAGGUAGGAUUUGCUACCCUUCUCCUGAUCUGCUCGUCAAGGACCAAGGUGAGAAGAUGAAGUACUGAUUGUCUGAUGUUCUUUUACGUGAGAAGAUAGAUGAAGCGAAGCGAGCAGUGGC